ACCAAAAAUGUGUUCACAAAAUAUAAAAGAUCAAACUACCUAAAGGAGAAACUUGAAAGUAAAAGCUACGAAUAUGACUAUGGAGUCUUCAGGCGUCUCCUUCGUUGUCCUCCUGCGAAACCGGCUCGGGAAUAAUGUCUUCCUGAUCUGAAAUAAUUAAAUAAGGAAUGAGCUACACUAGCCCAGUAAAGACAUCACGAUAUCUCAUCGUCACGGAGGUAAAGGUGGGUAGAAAACACAAAAAGACCAAUGGAGCAUAAUUUACAACAAAUUCUUU
rnacentral:lncRNA from 1 species